GGGAAGGUAGCUCAGUGGUAGAGCACUUGCCUUGCACGCGUGAGGCCCUGGGUUCAAUUCCUCAGCACCA
rnacentral:tRNA from 1 species